rnacentral:tRNA from 1 species
AAUAAAGUGCCUGAAAAAGGAUUAUUCUGAUAGGAUAAAUUAUGUAAUUAUUUUACCUUUAUUA